rnacentral:rRNA from 1 species
UAGAGUUUGAUCCUGGCUCAGGACGAACGCUGGCGGCGUGCCUAACACAUGCAAGUCGAACGGCCCAGCACUUAACAGAGCGUAUAAGGGAAUGGAUAGUGUAAAGCACAAUAGGUGCAUAUAAGCUGGACAUGAACUAAUAUGCUGCGUUAAGUGCUGGGUAGUGGCGGACGGGUGAGUAACGCGUGGGCAACCAACCCUGUACAGUGGGAUAACACCGGGAAACCGGUGCUAAUACCGCAUGACACCUAGAUAGUGCAUACUAACUAGGUUAAAGGAACUAACCGGUGCAGGACGGGCCCGCGUCCCAUUAGCUAGUUGGUGAGGUAACGGCUCACCAAGGCAACGAUGGGUAGCCGACCUGAGAGGGUGAUCGGCCACACUGGGACUGAGACACGGCCCAGACUCCUACGGGAGGCAGCAGUGGGGAAUAUUGCGCAAUGGGGGGAACCCUGACGCAGCGACGCCGCGUGAGCGAAGAAGGCCUUCGGGUCGUAAAGCUCUGUUCUUGGGGGCGAAGGAAGUGACGGUACCCAAGGAGAAAGCCCCGGCUAACUACGUGCCAGCAGCCGCGGUAAUACGUAGGGGGCAAGCGUUGUCCGGAAUUACUGGGCGUAAAGGGCGUGUAGGCGGCCAUGUAUGUCAGAUGUGAAAUGCCACGGCUUAACCGAGGCACUGCAUAUGAAACUGCAUGGCUUGAGUGCAGGAGAGGGAAGUGGAAUUCCUAGUGUAGCGGUGAAAUGCGUAGAUAUUAGGAGGAACACCAGUGGCGAAGGCGACUUCCUGGACUGUAACUGACGCUGAGGCGCGAAAGCGUGGGUAGCAAACAGGAUUAGAUACCCUGGUAGUCCACGCUGUAAACGAUGGGUACUAGGUGUGGGUAGUUCACUCUAUCCGUGCCGCAGCAAACGCAAUAAGUACCCCGCCUGGGGAGUACGGCCGCAAGGUUGAAACUCAAAGGAAUUGACGGGGGCCCGCACAAGCAGCGGAGCAUGUGGUUUAAUUCGAAGCAACGCGAAGAACCUUACCAGGGCUUGACAUGGCCAUGACGUACCUAGAGAUAGGUAUUUCUUUUACGGACAUGGUCACAGGUGGUGCAUGGUUGUCGUCAGCUCGUGUCGUGAGAUGUUGGGUUAAGUCCCGCAACAAGCGCAACCCUUAUCGCUAGUUGCUAACGUGUAAUGGCGAGCACUCUAGCGAGACUGCCGGGGACAACUCGGAGGAAGGUGGGGAUGACGUCAAAUCAUCGUGCCCCUUAUGUCCUGGGCUACACACGUGCUACAAUGGCCGGAACAGAGGGCAGCUAAGGAGCAAUCCGGAGCAAAUCCCAAAAACCCGGUCUCAGUUCGGAUUGUGGGCUGCAGCCCGCCCACAUGAAGUCGGAGUUGCUAGUAAUCGCGGAUCAGCCUGCCGCGGUGAAUACGUUCCCGGGCCUUGUACACACCGCCCGUCACACUACGAGAGUUUGUAACACCCGAAGUCGGUGGGGUAACCUUUUGGAGCCAGCCGCCUAAGGUGGGACAGAUGAUUGGGGUGAAGUCGUAACAAGGUAACC